rnacentral:rRNA from 1 species
AGAGCGAACGCUGGCGGCAGGCCUAACACAUGCAAGUCGAGCGGCCGUAGCAAUACGGCAGCGGCAGACGGGAGAGUAACACGUGGGAACGCGCCCUUCGGUUCGGAAUAACUCAGGGAAACUUGAGCUAAUACCGGAUACGCCCUUACGGGGAAAGAUUUAUUGCCGAAGGAACGGCCCGCGUCCGAUUAGCUUGUUGGUGAGGUAAUGGCUCACCAAGGCGACGAUCGGUAGCUGGUCUGAGAGGAUGACCAGCCUCACUGGGACUGAGACACGGCCCAGACUCCUACGGGAGGCAGCAGUGGGGAAUAUUGGACAAUGGGCGCAAGCCUGAUCCAGCCAUGCCGCGUGGAUGAUGAAGGCCUUAGGGUUGUAAAGUCCUUUUAACGGGAAGAUAAUGACGGUACCGUAGAAUAAGCCCCGGCUAACUUCGUGCCAGCAGCCGC